ensembl:lncRNA
UGGUCUGUAGUUCUGGUCUGGUCUGGUUGGAUGUGGUCUGGUCUGUAGUUCUGGUCUGGUUGGAUGUGGUCUGGUCUGUAGUUCUGUUCUGGUCUGGUUGGAUGUGGUCUGGUCUGUAGUUCUGUUCUGGUCUGGUUGGAUGUGGUCUGGUCUGUAGUUCUGGUCUGGUCUGGUUGGAUGUGGUCUGGUCUGUAGUUCUGGUCUGGUUAGAUGGGGUCUGGUCUGUAGUUCUGAUCUGAUCUGGUUAGAUGUGGUCUGGUCUGUAGUUCUGGUCUGGUCUGGUUGGAUGUGGUCUGGUCUGUAGUUCUGGUCUGGUCUUGUUGGAUGUGGUCUGGUCUGUAGUUCUGGUCUGGUUUGAGGUGGUCUGGUCUGUAGGUCCGGUCUGGACCGGUCUUGUGUGGUUUUGUCUCUUAAGGGUUCUGGUUCCACUCAAAGUUCCCGCUCGUUUAUCG